AACGCUGGCGGCGUGCCUAAUACAUGCAAGUCGAGCGGAUGAUCAGGAGCUUGCUCCUGAUCGUUAGCGGCGGACGGGUGAGUAACACGUGGGCAACCUGCCCUGCAGAUGGGGAUAACUCCGGGAAACCGGGGCUAAUACCGAAUAAUCAGUUYCUCCGCAUGGAGRAACUCUGAAAGACGGUUUCGGCUGUCACUGCAGGAUGGGCCCGCGGCGCAUUAGCUAGUUGGUGGGGUAACGGCCUACCAAGGCAACGAUGCGUAGCCGACCUGAGAGGGUGAUCGGCCACACUGGGACUGAGACACGGCCCAGACUCCUACGGGAGGCAGCAGUAGGGAAUCUUCCACAAUGGACGAAAGUCUGAUGGAGCAACGCCGCGUGAGCGAAGAAGGUUUUCGGAUCGUAAAGCUCUGUUGUAAGGGAAGAACACGUACGGGAGUAACUGCCCGUACCUUGACGGUACCUUAUUAGAAAGCCACGGCUAACUAC
rnacentral:rRNA from 1 species